rnacentral:piRNA from 1 species
UACAUUGUUCUCACGUCACAAUCUGCCACC